AGCGUUGUCCGGAAUCAUUGGGCGUAAAGCGCGCGUAGGUGGCCCGGUAAGUCCGCUCUGAAAGUCACAGGCUCAACCUGUGAAAGCGGGUGGAUACUGCCGGGCUAGAGUCCGGAAGAGGCGAGUGGAAUUCCUGGUGUAGCGGUGGAAUGCGCAGAUAUCAGGAGGAACACCAACGGCGAAGGCAGCUCGCUGGGACGGUACUGACACUGAGGCGCGAAAGCGUGGGGAGCGAACAGG
rnacentral:rRNA from 1 species